rnacentral:rRNA from 1 species
GACGAACGCUGGCGGCGUGCUUAACACAUGCAAGUCGAACGGAAAGGCCCUGCUUGCAGGGUACUCGAGUGGCGAACGGGUGAGUAACACGGGGGUGAUCUGCCCUGCACUUCGGGAUAAGCCUGGGAAACUGGGUCUAAUACCGGAUAGGAGUCAUUUUUUGUGGGACGGUUGGACAGGUUUUUCGGUGUAGGAUGAGCUCGCGGCCUAUCAGCUUGUUGGUGGGGUAGUGGCCUACCAAGGCGGCGACGGGUAGCCGGCCUGGGAGGGUGGACGGCCACAUUGGGACUGAGAUACGGCCCAGACUCCUACGGGAGGCAGCAGUGGGGAAUAUUGCACAAUGGGCGCAAGCCUGAUGCAGCGACGCCGCGUGGGGGAUGACGGCCUUCGGGUUGUAAACUCCUUUCGCUAGGGACGAAGCUUUUUGUGACGGUACCUAGAUAAGAAGCACCGGCUAACUACGUGCCAGCCGCCGCCGUAA